ACUACAUAAUAUUUCAUUUUGAAAUGGAAUCCAGUGAGAAUCUGGAACGGUCCCGCCACUGUAUGAGCAUUAGCUUAAGUCAGGUCUUUUCUCAAGAUGAACUUACAAAAUUCUUGUUAUUUCGAGGCAAAGUAACAAAUUAGCU
rnacentral:sRNA from 2 species